rnacentral:rRNA from 1 species
AAAAUGACUCUCGGCAACGGAUAUCUCGGCUCUCGCAUCGAUGAAGAACGUAGCGAAAUGCGAUACUUGGUGUGAAUUGCAGAAUCCCGUGAACCAUCGAGUCUUUGAACGCAAGUUGCGCCCCAAGCCUUCGGGCCGAGGGCACGUCUGCCUGGGUGUCACGCAUCGUAGCCCG